rnacentral:rRNA from 1 species
CGCGUAGGUGGUAGUGUAAGUCUGGGGUGGAAUGCCGGGGCUUAACCCUGGAAUUGCCUUGGAAACUGCAUUACUUGAGUCAGUGAGGGGAGGGUAGAAUUCCUGGUGUAGCGGUGAAAUGCGUAGAUAUCAGGAGGAAGGCCUGUGGCGAAGGCGGCCCUCUGGUGCUGGACUGACACUGAGGCGCGAAAGCGUGGGGAGCAAACAGGAUUAGAUACCCUGGUAGUCCACGCCCUAAACGGUGGGCACUAGGUGUAGGGCUCGUAAGGGUUCUGUGCCGAAGGGAAACCAUUAAGUGCCCCCGCCUGGGGAGUACGGCCGCAAGGUUGAA